rnacentral:rRNA from 1 species
UGGGGAAUUUUGCGCAAUGGGCGAAAGCCUGACGCAGCGACGCCGCGUGUACGAUGAAGGCCUUUGGGUCGUAAAGUACUGUCAACCGAGACGAAAACUUGGGGGCUAAUACCUCCUGAGCUUGACGGUAUCGGUGGAGGAAGCACCGGCUAACUCUGUGCCAGCAGCCGCGGUAAUACAGAGGGUGCAAACGUUGCUCGGAAUUACUGGGCGUAAAGCGCGUGUAGGCGGUCUGUUAAGUCGACUGUGAAAGCCCAUGGCUCAACCAUGGAAGUGCAGUCGAUACUGGCAGACUGGAGUCCCGGAGAGGGUGGUGGAAUUCCCAGUGUAGAGGUGAAAUUCGUAGAUAUUGGGAGGAACACCGGUGGCGAAGGCGACCACCUGGACGGGUACUGACGCUGAGACGCGAAAGCGUGGGGAGCAAACAGGAUUAGAUACCCCCGUAGUCC